ensembl:snRNA U5 U5 spliceosomal RNA
AUACUCUGGUUUCUCUUCAGAUCGUAUAAAUCUUUCGCCUUUUACUAAAGAUUUCCGUGGAGAGGAACAACUCUGAGUCUUAAACUAAUUUUUUGAGGCCUUGCUUUUUCAGCAGGGCU